AGAACGCACACACUACCUUUCAGGCUUUGUUCAAGCAAGCCGCGAGGUUCUUGCUAUUUUCUCCAAAAACAUAGGGAUGGAAGAAAGAACACGCACGCGCCAAACAACGCCCGCGUGUACUAGAAAUAACAAGAGAUAACCGCUCCCUCCCCCACGGCGCGUACGUUGUACCUCCUGCUAGACGAUUGGUGAGGAAGAAGGGCUUCGUGAGGGAGAUUCGACUGUUGACCGGAGCUGACGGGAUUUGAAGGAGGGGGAACGAUUGCUUGGUGCAUAUCGUAUUUCCUGUGUAUCACAAUUGGCACUGAACAGGGACCUGAGAACCUUUCGUCUGGUGAGCAAAUAAAUCUAAAAAAGCGCACAAAACACUGUUUUGGUGUAAGGUUUGUUUUCUUGCCGGACGGGAGCAGCUUUUCUAAAAGCCCUGAGACGGAGACUUGGACGUUGAGACAGGAGACAAGAGGAACGUUCCGGGGGACUGCACUGGGAGUGAGUGAGUAUUCUUUCCUCUCUCUUGGGUUAUUAUUAGGUGUGCUUAGUGUGUGUGGUUUGUGUGUGAAAGUGACAGUAUGGGGCUUUCUUGGAGUAAACGUGGUAAUAAUACUAACAAUAAAAUACCCUCCAUCUCUCCGAUAUCACCUUUAGGGGAGUUGUUAACUCAGUGGACAGAGGACUGGUUGAAGGUUUAUACCAAACAGUUGGAUAAAGUAGCUAUGAUUAAUUAUUGUACUAGGGUGUGGCCGAAAUUUAUUUUGAUAAAGCCUAAUUAUAGGUGGAGUAAGUUUGGGGAGUCUGACCCGUAUUGGAUUAAUGCCUUGAAGAAGGUUUUGGAAAGCAAAAAACUUAUUUCUCAGUUGCCAUAUGUUGAACCUCAGUUCCAUGUUCAGUAGUUUGACCCUCUUCCCCAGAGAAGUUCUAGAGUUUUGUAUGGGAAGGAGAAGAGGAAGGCUAGGAUCCUUUAGUUUAUGCUACAUGCCCACCUCCCCCUCCUUCGUAUAAUCCAGGUUGUGGGUGGAAUGUUGUUGCUGGGAGCAGAAAGGAAGAGACUUCGGCAGGGCAGUAAUAUAGGCAGCCGGAGAAGGAGUUGGAUGAAUUGUCAGUAACUGUGAAACAGAAUCCAUCCACUUCUCCUCGUGUUACAUGUUCACAAACUAAAGGAAUGUUUCCUUUAAGAGGAAUGCUGAAUAGUAUUGCGGCUUUUGUGAAUGUGUCUUUGACAUCUUCUGAUCUGGAAGAUUAUGAAGGCAACAUGCCGUCUUUAUAGGCGGAUCUGAUCAAGUUGUCUGAGUCAUUGGAUUUUUGUUCUCCCUUGAGGAGAGGUCACAAAUUCGAAAGGCAGCUAUGGCUUUUUCGGGAUAAAAUCCAAGUGGGGGCUGCUCAGCCCGUUGCUGCCGAUGUUAAGUCUCCAUUUGAUCCUAAAUUAGCUAAAUUAGUUAAUUUGGCUGACCGGGGGCAAAUGGAGGACCUGAAGAGAAUUAUAAUUCAGGGAGUUAAGACAGCUGUACCUCAAGGAAGAAACUUUAACAAAAGUCUUGGAGGUGGAACAGUUGUGGGAAGAAACACCGUCUGUGUUUCUGGAAUAUAUUAAGGACAAUUUGAAUAAGCACACUGGUCUUUCUCCUGAAAUGCCGGCUUAUGAGUCCUUAAUGAAAAUGAAAUUUGUGACAAAAUCAUGGCCAGGCAUACAGAAGCUUGAGAAUUGGGCUACUACUGAUAUUGCUGCUCUGUUGAAAGAAGCUCAAAAGGUCUAUGUGAAUAGGGACAAGGCCAAGACUAGGAGAAAAAGAAAGAAAGAAAAGUCGAAUGAUGGUGUCUGUGUUGAAACAGACAGGAGAGGGAAAGGAGUUAGGUGGAAGAGGAAAAGGCUUUGUGAAACAUCUGUUGCAAUGUGGCGACAGUGUUCUGGAAUCGGGAGAGUAUUACUCCUAGUGUUGGUGGAUUGGAAAGCAAGAAGUGCUUUGUGUGUGUAAAGGAGAGGCAUUUUGCUAGAGCUUGUCCUGAGAAGAGGAUGAUUAGUGGGUCCAGAAGAGGAGGAUCAUGUGUUUCUAAUAGAUACGGGUGUGACUAGAACCUCUAUUUGUAAAUUGCCUAGAGGAGUGCAUCCCACAGGUGUAACUAUUAAGAUAAGAGGUGUCAAGGGUAUACCUUUUGAUGUGCCAUUGUUGAAGAAUGUGAAAUUGAGUUGUGGAAAGUGUAUUAUACAUUUGGAUGUGAUAUUUGUUCCAGAAGCAGGUAUUAAUCUGUUUGGGAGGGAUGCAUUGUCUCUUCUGGGAUGUGAGCUUGGUAUACAGAUCUUUCUCGUUCUUGGAUGAGGCAGAAAACUCUAUAGGAAUGUAGUAAGGAAGGUUUAUUGUUCUUCCUACCUGAGGUUGAAUGUGAAUAUUUUGUCUUUGAUUAAUGUGAUGUGAUAGAGAUAUAUGUGUGCCGGCUAAUUAAGUGACCUUCUUGGCUUGAGCUUGGAGCUGUGGAAAACGGAUGAUGGUUAGGGCCCGAAUUCAAGUUUUUGAUUAAAAAACCGCAUCCUGAAGUUUUCCACUGCUUGAGGAGUAGGCUACAAGAUGUCAAGGAUGAAAAUGAAAUGGGUAUCUGAAGGGAUGGAACAUUCCCAGGUUUUAUUCCAGGUUUGCAAAUGUUGUUAAAUGGUAUGUGUGUGUUGGAAUACACUAAAAGGUCUGAUUGCAGAAUAAAUAUGAGUGUGUGUGGUAAGCCCUCACAUGGGGGGGUGGUACGGUGAUCCUGAUAUUUGUAAAUGCCUGUGCGUUGAAUCCCUGAGAGGUCUCCUUUUGUAUAAUGAAAUAGUGAGUGGCAAGAGUUUGUUGUUGUAGUUGUUGUUAUGUUGUAAUAGCAAGUGUUUGAAUGAGCAAGUGAGAGAUGAGAGAGAUCCUAUGGAGAAGUAGGAUUAGGAAGAGGUAUUUACGAUGUUAAAUGGAGACAGGAGUAGUAUUUUUCCUCCCUAUAUUUCCCCUGUUUUUUUUGUUCUGAACAAGAAAAGUAGGAAAGGGGGGGGAGGUGCGGUUUGUUUUCCCUUUUACACAUUUUUUUUCCUUUGCUGAGUUUGUCUGAGAGAAAGGAGGGGCGAAUGGGUGAUUUGAUCCUGCAUUGUUUCUGACUGCAUUGGCAGCUAUGCAGAUGUAUUUCCUGUCCUGCUCUGAGUUUUGAUUUUAUUUUUGUUUGUGAAAUGUUUGAGGUGUUUAAAUAAAUCUAUAUAAUAGAGAAGUGACAUUGAAAGUUUAAAAUAAUUAUUUUUGGGAGUAGAGAGCCGGAGUACCUCUAUUAGCCGGAGUACCUCUAUUAGGUGAUUUUCUUUUGCUUUUUGAAGUUUUUUAUUACCCACUUUUAUAUUUUUAUGUCUGUGCAUUUUGAAUGAUUUUGAAUGUUGAGAAGGAGAUUUCUAGGAUAGCCUCGAUACUGGAUAGCCUGGGGAAUAGUUGACUAUGUUAUUUUAGCUUAGUGUUGUCCAGAUAAGGGAUGUUCCCUUGAGGGAAGAAUUACUUACUGGUAGAAAGUAAAGAUGGACUUUUGGUCUGGUUAGCUAGGAAGUUACCUGUAAGUUAGUCUGUAUAGACUUGUGGUUUAGACUUGUGAAUUUAGAUUAAGCUUUGCAUUUCUUUGAAGCUUAUGGAAAUAGUUUAGCUAAUUUGUGAUAGAGGUGUGGUGUGAUUCCUCCGAAGUGGGGAGAGUUGAGUAUUUAUUGAUACUUUAUUGAUUUAUUGAUAGUUAAUUCCAAACUAAGUUGUUUGGAAGAAAGGUUUGAAGAGUUGAAGAAAGUAAUAAAAUUGUCUCAAGAGAAUUUGGUUCUCUUGACCAAUAGGAAUUUAAAUUUAGUUGAAUUCCUGUCAGGAGAGAGAGAUGGGAUGAUGUGAAAUGAAAUUGUGUGGUUAUGAAUAAAUAGGUUGAGAAUGGGAUGAGGCUGAAUGGUUAUGUAGUUGUGAAUGGAGACACUACUACGAUAUUGCAAGCUGGAAAGUUACCGUCUGAAUGGUCAGAGCAGACAUGUGAGGUUUUUUCUUUAUUGUAAGCAUUGCGCAUAUUAACUAAUGAGGUAGGGAAUAUUCAUGUUGAUUCAAAAUAUGCUUAUGGUAUCAUACAUACUUUUGGGAUAAUCUGGAUUGAAAGGGGGUUGAUAUUUAGUAAUAGGAAGGAAUUGCAGCAGGUGGAUUUUAUCACAGCUGUUUUAAAGGCAGCUGAUAGGUUCUUCUAAACUUGCUAUUAUACAAAUAGUGGAUGAAGGGAUGUGUAAGUGAAUGGGAAAUGGAUGACUAAAGGAAGGGUGCAAAUUUUUACUAAAGCUGUGAGUGCAUGAGGGAACCUAUUGGGGAAUGCAAGCACUUAUUGAUUUUAUUAAACAUAUAUGCAUAUAUGUGUGUAGGAGUGUGUAUACAAUAGUUAUACAAAUGGUACGGAAAUGAAUACAUUGUGUAUGUGCAUAACAUGUAGAGAUUGACCAUUUGGCCUUUUCAAUGAAUCCAAGUAGAUUACAUUGAAAUGCCGGUGGUGUGACCAUUGAUAUAUGUAAUAAUAAUAGUGGAUUAAUUUACUGGAUAGUUUGAAGCCUUUCUUUGUGUAAAGACAGGUGCUCAGAUGAUUGUUAAAUCAUAUUGGAGCGAAUAAUACCCAAAUAUGCAUUGGUUGAUCUUAUUGAUAGUGAUAGCGGUACACAUUUCAUUGUCCAGGUGAUAGAGGUUAUAGAACAAUUAGGAAUUGAUUGGCAACUACAUUUAUUGUUCACGCCAAGUUCUACAGGGCGUUGUGAAUGUGCUAAUCAGACAAGUAAAUUUAUGUUACAAAGAUUAAUGUUAGAGCUUCAACUACCUUGGACGAAGUGUUUGCCUUUAGCUAUAUUAAGAAUAAGAACUAGUCCUAGGAAAGUUCUGGGGAUAUUUACGUAUGAAAUGAUGUUUGGAUUGCUGUAUGCGGGGAAAGUUGAGAUGCUUAGGAUAGAAUUGAAAGAUGUUUUUUUCUGAAAAAAUAUAUACAGGGACUGUCCCAGUGUUUUUCUCAUUUAAGGUAAAAAGGACAGACUCCACCUCUUGAUUUCCAAAUCCAUGAAUACAAAAGCGGAGACUGGGUCCUGAUCAAAGCACUUAAGGAGAAAAAGUUGCAGCCGGUGUGGGAAGGACCGUCCCAAGUUCUGCUAACUACAGGGUCGGCUGUAAGGACUAAGGAACAAGGCUGGGUAUGCUAUUCUAGAGUGAAAGGACCGGAUGGACGGUUGCUGCGAAAUCUACAGAUCCUCUUAAAUUGACCUUUCGUCGACAACCCUUAGACGAUUGAUGACCAACGGAUGGAAGAAGAGUUUUGUGAAGAAUUUUGUAUUUGGCUAGGAGUGAUAUUAAUUUUUGUUGUAUUUUUGAUUAUAUUAAGAAAAGAUAUAAUUGACUGGUGUAAAUCUAUGCUUUGGUAUCCAGUGGAUGUAGGUUCACUUUGACAGUCUGAUACUUUGGUGGUAAGAUAAUAAUAUUUUAUCUUUUUGGAAGCUAUAUUGGAGAGGGGAAUUAGUCCACUAGGAAGAUGGGGUAUAUGGUGUUUCUGUUUAUUCUAUUGAAGGUGCAGAUAGGGAUGGAAAAAGAGAUGUUGGAUGUGUUACAAGAUUAUCCAAUAACAUGGCAGCAGUUAUGUUUCCAUACUGAACUCGAGCACCGAUAUUCUUUAAUAGAGACACUGACCUUGAUAGAGGGUGCUGAAGAAGCUGAUAUAUGUAUAAAAUCAUCUUUUGUAGAUGGUAUACCAUUGGGCAGAUAUGCCAGAUGUAAUAAUAGAUAUGACAUAACCCCUAAAUACACUGAUUUAUUAGAUAGAAUGGAGUUUUUAUAUAAUCAAUGUACUGAUUUAUAUGGUAAUCAUACUCCUUCAUAUAAAAUAUUCCGUAUUUUGGAGGAAGGAUUACGCUUUCCAUAUUUUGAAAUAAAAGCCCCUUUGAAGUUAAUGUUUCUAUGUGGAAAUUUGGCUUUGCCUAAAUUGCCUUAUUUCUGGAAGGGAAGAUGUGCUGUUGGUUAUCUUAAGGCACCUUUAUGAUAUACCAGAAGUAUUGCUGAACGGAGAACGAGAGAAGGCAAUAUAUUUCUGGAUUUAAUGAAGGUAGCUUUAAACAGUACUUCCUUUUGUAUCAGGGGUGAGACAACUGUCUCUGAUAUAAUGGCUACAUGUUUUGUGGGGGUGCCAGUACCGGGAAAGUUUUUAUUUGAAGAAGCAAAUAUCAUAAUAGAACCAAAUAAUUUCAAUUUGUCACAUGUUAUAAUAUUAUUUGGGAGUCCAAAAUACAGCUUUUAGAGAAGUUUGGGAUAUAUUAACCUCAUGGUUACCUAACUUUGCAUGGUUAAGGGAAUUGUUUGUAGGCAUAUUAUUGAUUAUAGUUAUAUGUCUUAUUUCUUGUCUUUGUAUUAAAUGCAUACCUAUUUGCUGUGAUUUUUGGAAGUGUUGCUGUCGAAUAAAGAAGAAAAAUUGGCUGGAGAUUCGCAUGGUGGCUUAGGGAGAAGAGAAGUUUCUAUAAUGUUACAAGAUAUACAUAAUUUACAGGAAUAAAAAGUAAUGAAGAGGAGAAGUGGGGAUUGUGAGAAAUAAAGAAAUUAGGAUUAUUCCUGUAAAAAAGUAUAGCCUAAGUUACGCCAUUUUGAAAUCAUGUCAAGGCUUUAUUUUACUCUGUAUAACCUGAUUAUAUAAUUUAGCUGACAUUUAAGAACAUGAGAAAGGAACUGUGUAAUUCCUGUGUUCUUGAGAAUGUGUUUCUCUGGCAGGAAAUAGGCUUUCAGGUCAUUUUGCCCUCAUUAAGAAGGGGAAGUACGCAUAUGCUGAUAUUAUAUAUUACACGUAUAAGCAAUAUUUUUAAGUAGGGUAUUUUUAUAUACUGGACUUGUGGGGACUUUCCACAAGGGGAAAACAUGUGUUUACUUGUUAUAUAAAGUCUGAAAUUGUACUCAAGGGACAUGCUUGUAUCCUGGUUUGUAUCCUGUACGAUGUAACCUAAAAUUGUAUAAAAGACGGUCAGAGAGAUAUGUAAAUUGCUCUCUCACUUUGAGAGGGACCUUUGCAAAGAAAUAAAUUUUUCCUUGUCUCA